rnacentral:rRNA from 1 species
GAUGAACGCUAGCUACAGGCUUAACACAUGCAAGUCGAGGGGAAACGGCAUUAAGUGCUUGCACUUUUUGGACGUCGACCGGCGCACGGGUGAGUAACGCGUAUCCAACCUUCCCAUGACUAAGGGAUAACCUGCCGAAAGGCAGACUAAUACCUUAUGGUCUUCACUGACGGCAUCAGAUGUGAAGUAAAGAUUUAUCGGUUAUGGAUGGGGAUGCGUCUGAUUAGCUUGUUGGCGGGGUAACGGCCCACCAAGGCAACGAUCAGUAGGGGUUCUGAGAGGAAGGUCCCCCACAUUGGAACUGAGACACGGUCCAAACUCCUACGGGAGGCAGCAGUGAGGAAUAUUGGUCAAUGGGCGAGAGCCUGAACCAGCCAAGUAGCGUGCAGGAUGACGGCCCUAUGGGUUGUAAACUGCUUUUGUAUGGGGAUAAAGUCAAUCACGUGUGAUUGUUUGCAGGUACCAUACGAAUAAGGACCGGCUAAUUCCGUG